GCCUGAGGCUCCUCGGUGCAGAAAGGUUGGCAGGCAGCGGCCUCGGGUGUUCUCAGAAUGCGAUUUCCCCUUGUGUCUGUCCCUGAAAACACUCAACUGCGGCACUCUGCGCGUUUGUUGAUCUAUGCCAGACCUUGACUGGGGGGAAGCCUGUGAAAACAUCCAUGAGGAAUGCUCCGGAUGUCCUCUCCUGGUCUCUGUGAUAAACUUGUGACAGACGGAUGCAGAGUAUGAAGCAAGCUGUCUGUGCAGCUCUGUACUUCUUUGUCUGAUAUGAGGGUGCCUCCAAUUCGACCUUCUGUACGGCUAUUUUCAUAAUUCAUUAAUUCUUUGUCUGUCUAUUGUGCUUCUUGCCAAGGGAAUUAUUUUCUUGCAUAUGUUCUUCAACCCCCAAAACCAUCACCCACCUUUUGCAAUUAAAGCCAUAAGAGUA